rnacentral:rRNA from 1 species
AAAUAACAAUGGAUUUCCCUAGUAACGGCGAGUGAACAGGAAAGAGCUCAAAGUUGGAACCUGUUUGGUUUAGCCAAACCGGAUUGUAAACUGUAGAAGUGUUUUCCUGGCACGCCUGACGAAAAAGUCCAUUGGAACAUGGUGACAUAGAGGGUGAGAGCCCCGUAUUUUGUCAGAGCUGUUGUCUCUUGUGAUACACUUUCAAAGAGUCAGGUUGUUUGGGAAUGCAGCCUAAAUUGGGUGGUAAAUCUCACCUAAAGCUAAAUAUUGGCAAAAGACCGAUAGCGAACAAGUACCGUGAGGGAAAGAUGAAAAGAACUUUGAAAAGAGAGUUAAACAGUAUGUGAAAUUGUUAAAAGGGAACCGUUUGGAGCCAGACUGGCUUGAUUGUAAUCAAUCUAGAUUUCGAUCUGGAUGCACUUGCAGUCUAUGCCUGCCAACGACAAUUCAUUCUGGAGGAAAAAACUAAGUGGAAUGUGGCCCCUCGGGGUGUUAUAGACUCUUAGAAAAUACUCUGGUUUGGAUUGAGGAACGCAGUGAAUGCUAUUUGGCGAAGAUGCUGGGUGCUUUUAUUUUUGUUGUCUAGAAUUUCUGCUUCGGGUGGUGCUAGAUACCACGAGUAAAACUCGCCUAGUAUACUUUUUAUUCACUUAGGUUGUUGGCUUAAUGACUCUAAAUGACCCGUCUUGAAACACGGACCAAGGAGUCCACCAUAUAUGCGAGUAUUUGGGUGCCAAACCCAUAUGCGUAAGGAAACUGAUUGAUACGAAAUCGCAAGAUGGCAGUAUCACCCGGCGUUGACGUUUUAACUGAAGUGACUGAGGUAAAGCAUAUAUGAUGGGACCCGAAAGAUGGUGAACUAUGCCUGAAUAGGGUGAAGCCGGAGGAAAC